rnacentral:misc_RNA from 1 species
AAACCCUCAAGCACUGCUUGGUGUUGGGCGUCUUUGUCCCGCCUCUGGCGCGGACUCGCCUUAAAAUUAUUGGCAGCCUGUGUAUUGGCUUCGAGCGCAGCAGACUCGCGCGUCGUCCCCUCCAGCACAGGCGUUCCAACAAGCCUCACCCACUAAGU